rnacentral:rRNA from 1 species
CCUACGGGGGGCAGCAGUGAGGAAUAUUGGUCAAUGGGCUUACGCCUGAACCAGCCAAGUCGCGUGAGGGAAGACUGCCCUAUGGGUUGUAAACCUCUUUUGUCAGGGAGCAAUUGGCGCUACGUGUAGCGUUAUCGAGAGUACCUGAAGAAAAAGCAUCGGCUAACUCCGUGCCAGCAGCCGCGGUAAUACGGAGGAUGCGAGCGUUAUCCGGAUUUAUUGGGUUUAAAGGGUGCGUAGGCGGAAUGCCAAGUCAGCGGUAAAAUCGCGGGGCUCAACCUGUGGCCUGCAUUUGAAACUGUUUUUCUUGAGUACUGGAGAGGCAGACGGAAUUCCUAGUGUAGCGGUGAAAUGCGUAGAUAUUAGGAGGAACACCAGUGGCGAAGGCGGUCUGCUGGACAGCAACUGACGCUGAGGCGCGAAAGCGUGGGGAGCAAACAGGAUUAGAUACCCGAGUAGUC